UGAUGGAUGAUGAUGGAGGAAUAAUCUGGGAACAUCUGGACUCACCGUCUCAGAGCUGCUGUCUUAAAAUGACAAAUGUGGGCUCAAAUGCAGCAUCCACUGAGGCAUUUUUAUUACAACCCAAAGAAAAGAGCCGUUUUUGUAUGUUUCUUCUGCAUCCUCUGCCUACAUUUCCCAGAACCCCUUGCGUCAUCCCUUAAGCAAACAUGCCCGGACUCAUCCAGCCGCUGCUGCUAACAUGCUGGUGAUAGCAGAGGUGAUAAUGACACUAACAGCAAGCGUCUCCCGGUGGGCUGAGAGUGAGAGUUGUUGUGACCAUUGUUCAGACCACAACACGUCUUUUUUUUUUGGCCGCUUUGGAUCUCAAUCUGCUGAGGCCACUGUCAGCAAAGAUUUAGAUGUUUCUGCAUCUGCAGCUCCACUGAGGAUCCCUCCAUUCCAUUCUGGCAGCAGAGAAAGUCUGUGAAAGCUGUGUGGAACAAUGUGGAGCAGAAGUGUGCCUCGGUGAAUGGAGCUCCACCUGUAUGCAGAUGACCGGGGCUGAAUAGAGGCCCGGAGACAUGCCUUUGUGGUGCAGGAGAAGCAGCAGCUUGUGGAAGUGUGCCGCUAUGAGCCCUGGGAGGCCGGGGAUAAAGGCACCGAGGGCAGCGGGGUGACAAGCUGUCCGUAUGUAGAUGAAACAAUGCCAAGCGUUAACAAGCCUAAGCUAGCGGUAAUGACAGAGGUUGGCUCAACAAAAGGCAGCAUUUGAAAUACAAUCUGUGAUCAACUAGAGUCAAUAAGGGGCAUAUUACGGCCAUUUGGCCCCUUUAAGCCCUUUUAUUCCCUAUUCAUUGUGUCAUAAUGUUGAUCUUCUGUAUGACCUUUAUGCCAACGCCAGCAGAGGAUAUUGUGUGUGCAUUAGCAGCCGAGGCUGGAGGGCACGGCGAGAGCGAUGGCGUGAUAAAGUCAGGACAGGAACGUGAUCAACAGGAUAACAUCUCACUUCUGCUAAUGCAGCAACAAUGGAGCAUCAGCAUCAAGGAUUAGAUCACUCCUACACAUCUUCAAACGCCAAUAAAAAGCUGCACAGCUGCGUCUGAGCAGAGGAGUUCAGACAGGCGUUUAGCCCUCUGAACACAAAGCUGUUUCCCGGUGCGUGUUUGUUUUUUCUUAAUGUGAAGCAGCACAACCGUGGCUAGAUGUACAGAGAACCCAGAGGUGUCUUCUGUGCAGACUGACACAGAAAAAGAUGUGAUUGUUGUAUUUAGAUGCUUAUAAAAACUGGAAUCGGCAUGUACAUUUUUCCAGGUGUCCACAGGUGUUACUAAUAUGGAAAAACUGGAUAAACACAGCCUGCAGUUCAGCCAAAUACUGUUGGUUGCAGCUAAGUUCUGCCUUUUUUGCACCAAAAAGUGCAGAAUUUUUGAUUUUUACAUGAUAUAUUCUACGUAAAUCGUGUAUUUUUGGUGAUUUUUUUAAACAAAACAUGUAGGGAAAAGUGAUGUUGAUGCGGUUUCUGGUUGUAUUUUUUGCUCCUGUCAUGUUUUUCCUCACUGUCGGUUAAUUUUUCACUGCAAUAUAAAGUUCUGCACCCUUAUGGAACCAGAAAAAGCAUGACGCAGACAUCAGAAAUGUCUUUUGCAUGGUGAGAUACAGCUAGAAUGAUAGAAAUCAUACGGAAAGAAGCAUCCAAAGUUGCAUUUUAUUGGUAAUUUAUUUCGAAAAUCGAAAAAAAUAACCAACAUCUGCUAGUAAUAGAAAGGUGGUAGUUUUACAUAGGUUUACGCUUUUUACAAAAACAUUUUAAAUUUGUUUCCAUGCAUGUCCUUCCUCAGUUUACACUGCCUGCAUUUCAGCUGAGUGCUGGAUUUUGACAUGUGACUGUUAGUGACGGCUUUUCACUUCCACUGAGUUCUGAUCUUUUUUAUUUAAUUUUACAGAAUUUCUCUUGGUGUAAAAUGGUAUAUUUUUUAGAUUUUUUUUAAAUAAGACAUGUAGAAUAAAGCAAUUUUGAUAAUAUA